rnacentral:rRNA from 1 species
GACGAACGCUGGCGGCGUGCUUAACACAUGCCAGUCGAACGGAAAGGCCCCUUUGGGGGUACUCGAGUGGCGAACGGGUGAGUAACACGUGAAUAACCUGCCCUUGACUUCGGGAUAACUUCAGGAAACUGGGGCUAAUACCGGAUAGGAAUCCUUGCUGCAUGGUGGGGGUUGGAAAGCUUCGGCGGUUUUGGAUGGACUCGCGGCUUAUCAGCUUGUUGGUGGGGUAGUGGCUUACCAAGGCUUUGACGGGUAGCCGGCCUGAGAGGGCGACCGGCCACAUUGGGACUGAGAUACGGCCCAGACUCCUACGGGAGGCAGCAGUGGGGAAUAUUGCACAAGGGGCGGAAGCCUGAUGCAGCAACGCCGCGUGCGGGAGGACGGCCUUCGGGUUGUAAACCGCUUUCAGCAGGGGCGAAGCUUGUGGUGACGGUACCUGCAGAAGAAGCACCGGCUAACUACGUG